rnacentral:rRNA from 1 species
AUUGAACGCUGGCGGCAGGCCUAACACAUGCAAGUCGAGCGAGCGGCGGACGGGUGAGUAAUGUAUGGGGACUGCCCGAUAGAGGGGGAUAACUACUGGAAACGGUGGAUAAUACCGCAUACUACCGUUUCACCCACCUGGGAUUAGCUAGUCGGUGGGGUAAAGGAUCACCUAGGCGACGAUCUCUAGCUGGUCUGAGAGGCUGAUCAGCCAAACUGGGACUGAGACACGGCCCAGACGACUACGGAGGCAGCAGUGGGGAAUAUUGCACAAUGGGCGCAAGCCUGAUGCAGCCAUGCCGCGUGUAUGAAGAAGGCCUUAGGGUUGUAAAGUACUUUCAGCGGGGAGGCGUUACCCGCAGAAGAAGCACCGGCUAACUCCGUGCCAGCAGCCGCGGUAAUAC